rnacentral:tRNA from 1 species
GUGCGGUGGAGCAGCGCGAGGAGCCGCGCCGCCUCCUCCCAGGGGGCGGCGUCGGGGUCGUCCGGGGCGACGGGCGCACC